rnacentral:rRNA from 1 species
UACGUAGGGUGCGAGCGUUGUCCGGAAUUAUUGGGCGUAAAGAGCUCGUAGGCGGUUUGUUGCGUCUAUCGUGAAAACCUGCAGCUUAACUGUGGGCUUGCGGUCGAUACGGGCAGGCUAGAGUUCGGUAGGGGAGACUGGAAUUCCUGGUGUAGCGGUGAAAUGCGCAGAUAUCAGGAGGAACACCGGUGGCGAAGGCGGGUCUCUGGGCCGAUACUGACGCUGAGGAGCGAAAGCGUGGGGAGCGAACAGG